UACGUCGAUAUUCGACGUCAUAAACACCAUCAACUUUGGUGUUUAUGGCGUCGAUAUUCGACGUCAUAAACACCAUCAAGUUUGGUGUUUAUAACGUCGAUAUACGAGGUCAUAAACACCAUGAAGUUUCGUGUUUAUCACGCCGAUAUUCUCAUAAACACGAUCAACUUUGGUGUUUAUGACGUCGAUAUUCGACGUCAUAAACACGAUCAACUUUGGUGUUGAUAACGUCGAUAUUCGACGUCAUAAGCACCAUCUAGUUUGGUGUUUAUGACGUCGACAUUCGACGUG